ensembl:snRNA U2 U2 spliceosomal RNA
AUCACUUCUCUGCCUUUUGGCUAAAAUCAAGUUUAGUAUCUGUUCUUACCCAUAGCAUGUGAUCAACAAUGACUCAGCUUGAUGUCAGAGACAAGCAUGACUUACC